rnacentral:rRNA from 1 species
UACGGAGGGUCCAAGCGUUAUCCGGAAUCAUUGGGUUUAAAGGGUCCGUAGGCGGUUUUGUAAGUCAGUGGUGAAGGCCCAUCGCUCAACGGUGGAACGGCCAUUGAUACUGCAAGACUUGAAUUAUUGGGAAGCAACUAGAAUAUGUAGUGUAGCGGUGAAAUGCUUAGAGAUUACAUGGAAUACCAAUUGCGAAGGCAGGUUGCUACCAAUACAUUGACGCUGAUGGACGAAAGCGUGGGGAGCGAACAGG